GGUGGCUCAGUGGUAGAGCAUUUGUCUUGCAUGCAUGAGGCCCUGGGUUCGAUUCCUCAGCACCA
rfam:Dipodomys ordii contig_27267, whole genome shotgun sequence.